AAGUUUUUGGCGCCAUGGAGUUAAAAGAAGGGACAACAGCUGACAUAUUUACUGGUACAACCAAGGGUCGAGUGGCCAUCUAUAAAGCUACGAUUUUGAAAGUUUGUGAUGUCAUGGAAUCCAGAUGCAAAAUGGUCAAGCUUCUUGUAGACAACCUCAUUCAAGGCCAACUCAUUGUGAGCCCAGGGAAAAAAAUACAAACAGCAGCUAAGUUUUCAGUUUAGGAUAACUUCAUUCUAAUUUAUUG